rnacentral:tRNA from 1 species
UUUUAGGUCGGUUUGUAGAAACAUUAGUUUGUACUACUAAUUAUGCCAAAUGGCACUAAAAAG